ACGUUAACGAACGAGACCUCGACCUGCUAAAUAGUUCGGAGAAUUCUUCGGGAUUCUUACGUGACUUCUUAGAGGGACUAUCGGUGUGUAGCCGAUGGAAGUCCGAGGCAAUAACAGGUCUGUGAUGCCCUUAGAUGUUCUGGGCCGCACGCGCGCUACACUGAUACGUUCAUCGAGCUUACAACCUUGGUCGACAGGCCUGGGUAAUCUUUUAAAAUCGUAUCGUGCUGGGGAUAGAUCAUUGUAAUUAUUGGUCUUCAACGAGGAAUUCCUAGUAAACGCGAUUCGUCAAAUCGCAUUGAUUACGUCCCUGCCCUUUGUACACACCGCCCGUCGCUAGUACCGAUUGAAUGGGUUC
rnacentral:rRNA from 1 species